AUUGAACGCUGGCGGCAGGCCUAACACAUGCAAGUCGAACGGUAACAGGAAGCAGCUUGCUGCUUUGCUGACGAGUGGCGGACGGGUGAGUAAUGUCUGGGAAACUUCCCGAUGUAGGGUGAUAACUACUGGAAACGGUAGCUAAUACCGCAUAACGUCGCAAGACCAAAGAGGGGGACCUUAUUGCCUCUUGCCAUCUGAUGUGCCCAGAUGGGAUUAGCUAGUAGGUUGGGUAACGGCUCACCUAGGCGACGAUCCCUAGCUGGUCUGAGAGGAUGACCAGCCACACUGGAACUGAGACACGGUCAAGACGCCUACGGGAGGCAGCAGUGGGGAAUAUUGCACAAUGGGGGAAAGCAUGAUGCAGCCAUGCCGCGUGUAUGAAGAAGGCCUUCGGGUUGUAAAGUACUUUCAGCGGGGAGGAAGGGAGUAAAGUUAAUACCUUUGCUCAUUGACGUUACCCGCAGAAGAAGCACCGGCUAACUCCGUG
rnacentral:rRNA from 1 species